UACACAUGCAAGUCGAGCGGCAGCACGGGUACUUGUACCUGGUGGCGAGCGGCGGACGGGUGAGUAAUGCCUAGGAAUCUGCCUGGUAGUGGGGGAUAACGCUCGGAAACGGACGCUAAUACCGCAUACGUCCUACGGGAGAAAGCAGGGGACCUUCGGGCCUUGCGCUAUCAGAUGAGCCUAGGUCGGAUUAGCUAGUUGGUGAGGUAAUGGCUCACCAAGGCGACGAUCCGUAACUGGUCUGAGAGGAUGAUCAGUCACACUGGAACUGAGACACGGUCCAGACUCCUACGGGAGGCAGCAGUGGGGAAUAUUGGACAAUGGGCGAAAGCCUGAUCCAGCCAUGCCGCGUGUGUGAAGAAGGUCUUCGGAUUGUAAAGCACUUUAAGUUGGGAGGAAGGGCAUUUACCUAAUACGUAAGUGUUUUGACGUUACCGACAGAAUAAGCACCGGCUAAUUCUGUGCCAGCAGCCGCGGUAAU
rnacentral:rRNA from 1 species